UACAGAGGUGGCAAGCGUUGUUCGGAAUUACUGGGCGUAAAGGGCUCGUAGGCGGCCAACUAGGUCACCCGUGAAAUCCCCAGGCUUAACCUGGGAACUGCGUGUGAUACUGGAUGGCUUGAAUUCGGGAGAGGGAUGCAGAAUUCCAGGUGUAGCGGUGAAAUGCGUAGAUAUCUGGAGGAAUACCGGUGGCGAAGGCGGCAUCCUGGACCGACAUUGACGCUGAGGAGCGAAAGCUAGGGGAGCAAACGGG
rnacentral:rRNA from 1 species